AGGUAAGCUACUAAGAGCGAAUGGUGGAUGCCUUGACUGGUAAAGGCGAUGAAGGACGUACUAGACUGCGAUAAGCUACGGGGAGCUGUCAAGAAGCUUUGAUCCGUAGAUUUCCGAAUGGGGCAACCCAAUGUAUAGAGAUAUACAUUACCUAUAUAGGAGCGAACGAGGGGAAUUGAAACAUCUUAGUACCCUCAGGAAAAGAAAUCAAUAGAGAUUGCGUCAGUAGCGGCGAGCGAAAGCGCAAGAGGGCAAACCCAGUGCUUGCACUGGGGGUUGUAGGACUGCAAUGUGCAAGAGCUGAGUUUAGCAGAACAUUCUGGAAAGUAUAGCCAUAGAGGGUGAUAGUCCCGUAUGCGAAAAACAAAGCUUAGCUAGCAGUAUCCUGAGUAGGGCGGGACACGAGGAAUCCUGUCUGAAUCCGGGUCGACCACGAUCCAACCCUAAAUACUAAUACCAGAUCGAUAGUGCACAAGUACCGUGAGGGAAAGGUGAAAAGAACUGAGGUGAUCAGAGUGAAAUAGAACCUGAAACCAUUUGCUUACAAUCAUUCAGAGCACUAUGUAGCAAUACAGUGUGAUGGACUGCCUUUUGCAUAAUGAGCCUGCGAGUUGUGGUGUCUGGCAAGGUUAAGCAAACGCGAAGCCGUAGCGAAAGCGAGUCUGAAUAGGGCGCUUAGUCAGAUGCUGCAGACCCGAAACGAAGUGAUCUAUCCAUGAGCAAGUUGAAGCUAGUGUAAGAACUAGUGGAGGACUGAACCCAUAGGCGUUGAAAAGCCCCGGGAUGACUUGUGGAUAGGGGUGAAAGGCCAAUCAAACUUCGUGAUAGCUGGUUCUCUCCGAAAUAUAUUUAGGUAUAGCGUUGUGUCGUAAUAUAAGGGGGUAGAGCACUGAAUGGGCUAGGGCAUACACCAAUGUACCAAACCCUAUCAAACUCCGAAUACCUUAUAUGUAAUCACAGCAGUCAGGCGGCGAGUGAUAAAAUCCGUCGUCAAGAGGGAAACAACCCAGACUACCAGCUAAGGUCCCUAAAUCUUACUUAAGUGGAAAACGAUGUGAAGUUACUUAAACAACCAGGAGGUUGGCUUAGAAGCAGCCAUCCUUUAAAGAAAGCGUAAUAGCUCACUGGUCUAGUGAUUUUGCGCGGAAAAUAUAACGGGGCUAAAGUAAGUACCGAAGCUGUAGACUUGCACACAACUUAGAUUAUUUAAGUUUAGAAUAUGAGAAACUAAGUUAUAUGUUUAGUUAUAUUUUUACUGAUUUUUAUAGAGUAAAGAUAGAAAUAAAACUUAGUAAAAUCAGUAAAAAUAUUCUUAGGCUAAAGUUAAGUAGUUUAAGUUGUGUGCAAGUGGUAGGAGAGCGUUCUAUUUGCGUCGAAGGUAUACCGGUAAGGAGUGCUGGAGCGAAUAGAAGUGAGCAUGCAGGCAUGAGUAGCGAUAAUUAAUGUGAGAAUCAUUAACGCCGUAAACCCAAGGUUUCCUACGCGAUGCUCGUCAUCGUAGGGUUAGUCGGGUCCUAAGUCGAGUCCGAAAGGGGUAGACGAUGGCAAAUUGGUUAAUAUUCCAAUACCAACAUUAGUGUGCGAUGGAAGGACGCUUAGGGCUAAGGGGGCUAGCGGAUGGAAGUGCUAGUCUAAGGUUGUAGGAGGUUAUACAGGCAAAUCCGUAUAACAAUACUCCGAGAACUGAAAGGCUUUUUGAAGUCUUCGGAUGGAUAGAAGAACCCCUGAUGCCGUCGAGCCAAGAAAAGUUUCUAAGUUUAGCUAAUGUUGCCCGUACCGUAAACCGACACAGGUGGGUGGGAUGAGUAUUCUAAGGCGCGUGGAAGAACUCUCUUUAAGGAACUCUGCAAAAUAGCACCGUAUCUUCGGUAUAAGGUGUGCCUCCCUUUGUAUUAGAAUUCACUUCGAAAGCAAAGAAGGUUACAACAAAGAGUCCCUCCCGACUGUUUACCAAAAACACAGCACUCUGCUAACUCGUAAGAGGAUGUAUAGGGUGUGACGCCUGCCCGGUGCUCGAAGGUUAAUUGAUGGGGUUAGCAUUAGCGAAGCUCUUGAUCGAAGCCCGAGUAAACGGCGGCCGUAACUAUAACGGUCCUAAGGUAGCGAAAUUCCUUGUCGGUUAAAUACCGACCUGCAUGAAUGGCGUAACGAGAUGGGAGCUGUCUCAAAGAGGGAUCCAGUGAAAUUGUAGUGGAGGUGAAAAUUCCUCCUACCCGCGGCAAGACGGAAAGACCCCGUGGACCUUUACUACAGCUUGACACUGCUAUUUGGAUAAGAAUGUGCAGGAUAGGUGGGAGGCUUUGAGUAUAUGACGCCAGUUGUAUAUGAGCCAUUGUUGAGAUACCACUCUUUCUUAUUUGGGUAGCUAACCAGCUUGAGUUAUCCUCAAGUGGGACAAUGUCUGGUGGGUAGUUUGACUGGGGCGGUCGCCUCCCAAAUAAUAACGGAGGCUUACAAAGGUUGGCUCAUAGCGGUUGGAAAUCGCUAGUAGAGUAUAAAGGUAUAAGCCAGCUUAACUGCAAGACAUACAAGUCAAGCAGAGACGAAAGUCGGUCUUAGUGAUCCGGUGGUUCUGUGUGGAAGGGCCAUCGCUCAAAGGAUAAAAGGUACCCCGGGGAUAACAGGCUGAUCUCCCCCAAGAGCUCACAUCGACGGGGAGGUUUGGCACCUCGAUGUCGGCUCAUCGCAUCCUGGGGCUGGAGCAGGUCCCAAGGGUAUGGCUGUUCGCCAUUUAAAGCGGUACGCGAGCUGGGUUCAGAACGUCGUGAGACAGUUCGGUCCCUAUCUGCCGUGGGCGUAAGAAGAUUGAAGAGAUUUGACCCUAGUACGAGAGGACCGGGUUGAACAAACCACUGGUGUAGCUGUUGUUCUGCCAAGAGCAUCGCAGCGUAGCUAAGUUUGGAAAGGAUAAACGCUGAAAGCAUCUAAGCGUGAAGCCAACUCUAAGAUGAAUCUUCUCUAAGCUCUCUAGAAGACUACUAGUUUGAUAGGCUGGGUGUGUAAUGGAUGAAAGUCCUUUAGCUGACCAGUACUAAUAGAGCGUUUGGCUUAUCUUU
rnacentral:rRNA from 1 species